UUCGCAAUGCCCGAAAGGGUGACGAAGCGACGCCGCGUGCGGGAAGAAGGCCUUCGGGUUGUAAACCGCUGUCGGGAGUUAAGAAAUGUAAGGAUGUUAAUAGCAUCUUUGCUUGACUAAGGCUCCGGAGGAAGCCACGGCUAACUCUGUGCCAGCAGCCGCGGUAAUACAGAGGCGGCAAGCGUUGUUCGGAAUUAUUGGGCGUAAAGAGCACGUAGGCGGCUAUGUAAGUCGGUUGGGAAAGCCUUCCGCUCAACGGGAGAACAGCAUCCGAUACUGCAUGGCUUGAGUGCGGGAGGGGAGAGUGGAACUUCUGGUGGAGCGGUGAAAUGCGUAGAUAUCAGAAGGAACACCGGCGGCGAAGGCGACUCUCUGGCCCGUAACUGACGCUGAGUGUGCGAAAGCUAGGGGAGCAAACGGGAUUAGAUACCCCGGUAGUCCUAGCCGUAAACGAUGGGCACUAAGUAGAGGGGUUUU
rnacentral:rRNA from 1 species